AAUCUCAGCCGUUCAUUCAUAUCAGUUUCCCUUUCACCUUACCUUCUUCCUUUUCUCCUUCUCUCACAGCCGUUUCACGAAAUUGAAAACGCAGACACAUUGCGUCUUUCAUUCUUCCUAUCCAUUAUGCACAAAUAGUCUCCGCUCUCCACAACAAAAAAUUACAAUUCCUUCCUCACGCAUCCGCUCGGCAGAACCUUCUUCCCCUUUUCGUGGUUCUGAUCCUUCCUUCUCAGAAAGACUCCUGUGGCUGCGACAUGAAUCACCAUCUUCCAUCCCGUAGGCUCCGUUUCUCACAGGUUUUUUUAUUUUUUGAAUUUUUGUUUCGUUUCAGUGUUGUAACGGAGACAAGGGAUUUUUUGGAGGGUUCGAAUCAGACUACGGAAGGUGGUCUGCUCCGUUUGGAAGAUGGCUGAGGUUUGGCACCGGAAAUUGUUCCUUAAAUGGUGGCUGCUGGCUGGGUGCUCAUACUCGAUUUGAGUUUUCCUGCAAAUUUUCAGAUUUGGUGCACCUAUGCUGGGAUUAUGGGUUUUCAGUUUGUGCAUUGGUGUCGUUCACCUACGUUGUUCUUGAUUGUGGUUUUUUGUUGUUGCAUUCUAAUGGAAUUGAAACUCCCAUUCUUCCAAUCCAUUCAAAAGUCACCCCAUUCCUGACAUUUGACGAUGUCCUUUUGUCACGCCUUCAACUGCAAAGGUAUCUUCUUCAGGUCGCCAAGUUCUUCAGGAUCGUUCAAUUUCAGUAAGAUUUUCCAAUUCAUUUUAUUAUGUUGUUUUUGUGCUACUUCAUUUUUCUUGAAAUUCUUGAUAUACCCAAAUAUUCUUUUCACCUCCUCUGUAACAUGUUUCAUAUAUUAUACCUCCUCCCCAUUCUUCAAAUGAUUGUGAACGAUCAUGAUGGAAUUCAUGAUUUUAGAGUAUCUGUCUAUGCUUUGGAAAUGAUUGAAUGAUGAAGUCAUUCCAGAAAAAGUCAAGGUAAAUUAUAAAUGAUGAUAUUCCUAUGAUGUUAUAUACAUAUGUUUCGCAUUGCUUCUCUGAAUUAUUAUGAUCUCUAUAAUUUUUCAACUUAAUAUUUUUACUUCGGUGGUUUCUAAGGUUCAUUCCAUUGUAACCUUUGAGUUGUAUUAUAGGAACUGCAUUCUAGGCAGGUAGCUUUUUUUAUUCAUAUAAUAUGUUUACUAGCGAGGGCAACUCUUCAGGUAUGUUGAAACUUGAAAGCAAUCCAUUGUAUGCUGAAUCCAGUUUGUAAUUGCUUAAGUUUUGGCAACUCCAGGUAUAUAAAUCAAUGAGGGAUUGCUUUACCGAGAUUGCUUUUUCAGAUCGAAAAUAUAAUUUCACCACUACUUCUCAGAUCUAUGGGAAAGAUAAAGAUGUGCAAGUAGUGGUGGUUAUAUGGUCUUCAAAGAAGCGCAUCAUGUUAUGGCUUUUAAUGUGAGACUUUUCAAACACUGAAAUAAUGGAUUUCACUACCCAUUUUAGAACCUAUGGUUACUCUUUUAUGAUGCCUUUCAAUAUCCAUGUAUGAACCUCCAUAGAUGAAUAGGGAAGAGGUAAAGUGUAGCAAGAUCAAAAGAUCAAAAGCUCGGAGACUCUCGAUGGGUUCCCGCACCCACCACGUUCGUCGUCGCCCAUGAAGGAAUACUCGAGAAAUAAAAGGUCCAUGAAUUGAAGAGAAGCGAUAACAGCAACAUAAGGAUACUCUGCUCAUCCUCUGGUGCUCACAAACUGCAAAUUGGUACCGAUGUGAACAGCACAGAAAAUUGAUUCUGAGUGCCCUGUGCAACUAUAGUUUUAGUCUACAAGAACAGAGAAAGGGUGUCAGAUCGACGAGAGGGCUCAGCAUGGACCUGCAUCGCCAUUGGCAUUCUGUAUACCCUAAUGUUGUGCUUUUGUUGCUGUCAUUUUGUUCAUUCGGUGAGUAAGAUCAUGUUAUUAAUAGUGGUUCUCAUAACUAGCUUAAAUCUGAACUUUCUGGUGUUGAUUUGAGAAUUCUGCUUUGUUAAAAGAAAACAUCAGAAUUCAUAAACUAAUUUAUUAUAUCUUCUAAUCAAUAAAAUAUAUUUAAAUCAAGACAAAUUUAACAAAAACAACACACAAAAAAAACCAAAAAAUGACGGGUAAAUUUGUAACAUCCCGACUUGACGACUGGCCUCACGGUAACAACACGAGUCUUUUCAAUGCGCUUUGUCCUCACUCGCGCACUUCCCGGGAAAACUUCCCAGGAGGUCACCCAUCUCAAUAUUGCUCCAAGUCAAGCACACUUAACUAUGGAGUUUUUAUGAGUUGGGCUCCCGAAAAGAAGAUGCAUCUUGUUGUUAUGAGUAGUACUAAUCAAAUCCUUUAUGCCCUCCUUGACUGUAUAGUCCCAUACCUAUACAGCCUCGGAAUACCUCUUGUUCGGGUGCGAGAUCGGUUCAUUCAUGUGCUCCUCCGCCUAGAAGCCUGCCAGGAGCCGCUCCUUGUCCGUGUCUCACUGCACCGGCGAUCACUCCCCGCCCUCGUCGGCCCCGGGCGUCACAGGCCCACCAGCUUCCGCUUGGUUCGUCCCCGAACUACACCGUACUGGGAGAGGUCGGCUCUGAUACCAUUUGUAACGACCCGAAAUCCUAAGUCGUGACCGGCGCACAGACUAACACCCUAGUCCUGCAAGCCUGUUUCUCACAAAAAUCAUUUUCCAAACUAUUCUCUAAAGUUACAUAUGUUUCUCUAUAUUUAUAAAAAAUAAAUAUACAAGAUCUCAUCCGUAUUACCAAUAUCUCAAAUGACAAAACCUGUCAAAUAAUGAUCUCCAUUUUCAUACUUCCAUUAAAAGGAAAUUUCCAGUUUAAGCACUCAUGUGUAACUUUUACAAUAAAACAAUAAAUAACAAUCUCAAAUCUAAAUCCUCCUAAGACUCCCUAUAGCUGCAGAUAACUAAAAUCAAAUAUAAGACACCAAUAUGACAACCUGUCGAAUGGUCUGAAUCUGACAACAGUAUGCUACUCAGUUGCCUGAAAAUCUGUGGAUGGAAAUAAUGAAUGGGGUAAGUCACAAAGACUUAGUGAGGAUUUAACAAC